rnacentral:rRNA from 1 species
GAAUUCAGGAAUAGCUAACGCAAAGUAUUCUGCUUGGGGAGUAUUAUCGCAAGAUUAAAACUUAACUGAAUUGGCGGGAAUUUGUUCGAACGGUGGAACAUGUGGUUUAAUGCGAUAAUCCACGCAAAAUCUUACCAACGUUUUAGGCUUUAUCUAGUAAUAUGGUUAACACUAUAAUUAUGUAGUAAAGUACGGAAUUGCAUGGCUGUCGUCAGUUCGUGCUGUGAAGUUUAGGAUUAAGUUCUUUUUAACGAAUGCAACCCUAUAAAUAAGUCUUUAAUAAGUAUUAAAUGUUUAUAUUUAUUAUUCUUGUUUAAUCUAUAUCCGGGUAUAUCGAAGUAAUAUUUUGUAUACCUGAAUAUAGGGGUUUUAGGCUGAAGUCAAGUCCCUAUGGUCUUUAUACGUUGGGCUACACACGUGUUACAAGGGUAAAAACAAAGAGACGCAAUAGAGUAAUCUGGAGCAAAACUCUAAAAAUUACCUCAGUUCAGAUUGUCUCAUGAAAUUCUGAGGCAUGAAGAUGAAAUCGUUAGUAAUUGUAAAUUAAAAUGUUACAGUGAAAUAUUAGUCAAAUUUUGCACACACGCCCAUCACGCUCGGAAAAGUCAAUAUUAGCGGAAGAUUUGAAAAUCUCUACGGAAUAAUAAAUUUAAUAUUAAUUUAUUAGUCAUUAUGUUUUUUUUUAACGCUGUGGAUGGAAAGUAGUAUCUAAUCUAAUAUUGGUAAUCUGAGUGAAGUUGACACAAGGUACUGGUAGGGGAACCUGUUGGUGGAAUAUAUUAUUAUUAAAAUAAUAAAACUAUAUCUAAAUGAAAUAAUAAAUUAAUUAAGAUUCUAGAU